rnacentral:rRNA from 1 species
AUUGAACGCUGGCGGCAGGCCUAACACAUGCAAGUCGAACGGUAGCACAGAGAGCUUGCUCUCGGGUGACGAGUGGCGGACGGGUGAGUAACGUCUGGGAAACUGCCCGAUGGAGGGGGAUAACUACUGGAAACGGUAGCUAAUACCGCAUAACGUCGCAAGACCAAAGUGGGGGACCUUCGGGCCUCACACCAUCGGAUGUGCCCAGAUGGGAUUAGCUAGUAGGUGGGGUAAUGGCUCACCUAGGCGACGAUCCCUAGCUGGUCUGAGAGGAUGACCCGCCACACUGGAACUGAGACACGGUCCAGACUCCUACGGGAGGCAGCAGUGGGGAAUAUUGCACAAUGGGCGCAAGCCUGAUGCAGCCAUGCCGCGUGUAUGAAGAAGGCCUUCGGGUUGUAAAGUACUUUCAGCGGGGAGGAAGGCGGUGAAGUUAAUAACUUCAUCGAUUGACGUUACCCGCAGAAGAAACACCGGCUAACUCCGUGCCAGCCGCCGCCGUAA